AGAACGAACGCUGGCGGCAUGCCUAAUACAUGCAAGUCGAACGAACACUUCGGUGUUAGUGGCGCACGGGUGCGUAACGCGUGGGAAUCUGCCCUUGGGUUCGGAAUAACAGUUGGAAACGACUGCUAAUACCGGAUGAUAUCGAAAGAUCAAAGAUUUAUCGCCCAGGGAUGAGCCCGCGUAGGAUUAGCUAGUUGGUGAGGUAAAGGCUCACCAAGGCGACGAUCCUUAGCUGGUCUGAGAGGAUGAUCAGCCACACUGGGACUGAGACACGGCCCAGACUCCUACGGGAGGCAGCAGUAGGGAAUAUUGGACAAGUGGGCGCAAGCCUGAUCCAGCAA
rnacentral:rRNA from 1 species